ensembl:lncRNA
UACAUGUCUGUCCAGUCCAGCAGGUUCUCUGUGCCGGAAACAUAUGAGGCUCCUGCCUCUUUCCCGUACGGCCAAGCAGUAAACAGUGGCUGUACCGCGGUACUCCUUCACUGCCACAAGCUCUCGAUCAGAGCGUCACACGGCCUGUGCGGCAGUUAGGAUCCGAGAGCUCAGAAGGACGUCCGCACUGGCCGCAGCGAAAGGACAAGAAGUCGGCAGCUGAACCCAAACACCUUCUCUUAGCUUGGACAGGUGAGGAGACAGCCUCAGGUUCGAGCACAGGCAGGGAAAUGUUGUCAGACACUGCAUUGUGUAGAGGUGUCCUGCAGAGGGAUGGUGACUGACUGGACACUGCAGUGCAGUACCACGGUAGGUGGAACAGAGGCACGGUCGCUGAGCAGAGAGAGAAUGUCCGAGGAAGAGUCCGGCUUGGAGGGAAAGUCCUUUCUCCUGUCACCGCUGAACACGACAAGGACCACAUCCAGUCAUUGGCAUGGAGACAGAGUCGUGCAGGACACGUGUGGGUCCGACCGCAGCUGCGAGGCAGGUGCGCUGUCCCCGAGACAUCCUGAUGUCUUGAAAGAGAAUGGCAGCUGGAGUGUCCCCAAGCGGAAGGGGGACCCCGAUGUCCUUGAUCAGAACAGUGAUCCAGAGGUGUCCGGCCUUCAGAAGGACGGCUUCCUGGGAUCUCCUGUCCCCAUUGCCAGAUGGACGAGGAGAACACUGCCCCCUCCUCUUGUCUUUGUCCAGAUCCAUCCUGAAGUGGAUGAGGAGGGCGGCGCUUCCAAAGCUGUUCUUGCAUGUGCUGGGGGACUGGCAGGGGGCAGUGGUCAGAAGGACAGACCCUUGGGGGACACUCUGGAUGGAAACCACCAGCUGAAACAGAAAGUAUCUUUGCUGGUUCCUAGUUUGGACCCUACAGAGUCAAACAUCAUCCUUUCGGGGUCCUCUGAGACCGUGGCCCUGACAGCCCCUGUUGCCAUGGAGACGGAGGGAGAAGCAGACGGGGCUGCUAUUAAGGAAGAGGACGCAAACAGCAGUUCCCCCAUCAGGGCUCUGCAGUGCAGUGAAGCUCCCAGAAGCUCAGCUGGCAUCCCUGCAGGGGACGAGGAGGCGGUGCUGCAGCCUUCGGACCCGGAGCCGGCAGCGUCCACACAGGGCACAGAGCCCAGCUGUCGAAGGUCCAUCGAAGUUCCCGCCCCAGAGGGGUCUUCGUCCAGCUCCUCAACCUCCAGCGAUGCAGAUGAGGCGUUGUGGGCGGCCAGAGGACGGGGUGCCGUGUCCCUCGAGGUGGACAGGGGGGACAGGGAGCCCAAGAAGAGGAAGAAGAAGAAAACAUGGAGCAGCAGGAAGAUGAAGCACUAUUUGGAGAAGCUGAGGGAGAGAUGGAGGAGCAGCAGCCACGGGUUGGGAGGACGAGGGCUAGAGGAUGGCCUCCAGGGACAGGACCUGGAAACUGGAGAACAACAGACAGAGGGUAAAGCGCUUGCUGACGGAUCGACCAAUAGGGAUGAGGGGGUGGAGCUCGCUGUUUGUCAUGCACCAAUGAGAACGCAGCUGAGCAAAGCCACUCCCACAAAGGCAGAGGAUGACGGGGGUUCAGAAAGACCCCCCGCCUGCACGAAGGAGACCGUGACAGCGGUAACACCGCCCGACCCCCAGCUGGACGGCAGUCACUCCAAAGAGACGCCCUGCGUGAACCGCCCCGUCGCUGCGGAGACGAGCAGCCCACGCAUCCCCACGGAGCGCCAGGAGUGUGUGCUGUCGACCACAGCGGGUCUCGGACGCCACCUGCACCAUGCAAGGACGGAGAUCGGCAGCGACAGCGACAGCGAUGACAACGUCUACGACUUCCUGUGGUCCUACAUAGAGGGAGACAAGGAGGAGGUCAACGGGCGUGGGGUGGGGGACGUCGCCCUGGCUUUCUCCUGCAUGGAAGCGAUGCCGGAGCCCGUCCUGGACAGCUCGGCCACACUGAGUCGGGUUCGACUGAGCACACAGCUGGGCCGCAGAUCCCCCUCCAAGAGGAGCUCCGGGCUGAGGGGGCCUCUGUUCGACGAAGGCGUCUACCGGACGUUCCGGGGCUCCACAGCUCACCCUGCAGAGGAGGUCCCCGCAGCUCUGAGCCCACAGGACACCCGGAACGGGGAGCUGGAUGGACGCAGUGACGGCGGCAGUGGUGGCUACGCGUACACGAUCCCGCGCUUCGACGCGUUCAGCUCAGCGCCCUCCCGCCUGCGCUCCUCCACCAUCUCCUCCCCCACCGAUGCCGUAGCUCCGCCCACAGCGCACCACCUGGACAGCAGGAGCACAAAGGUGCGGCGCCCCCUGCAGGUGGAAGCAAAACGCGGUAGGAAGCAGCGCCUCUCUGCCUGGCUCCUCCCCCUGAGGAAGCAGCAGAAGAAGAAGAUGACGCAGAGAGACGAGGCCCAGCGACUCCGUUCUGCAGAGGAGGACGAGUUGCCGUGACGCAGAACCCCCUGCAGGGCGGUGUCCCUCAGCGCUGCGGACGCCGUGGAGAUACCAGCGAAUGUUGUGUGUGACUGUCAUUAAAAAAGCGCGUGGGAAGAUGAACACAUUGUGUGGUUUCGAGUCCAGCUCAGGGUGUGUGUGU